AAUAAGUGUAGUUUUACACUAUUCACAUUUAACGUUUGACCAUUCGUCUUAUUUGAAUUUUUUUUAUGAUUAGUAUUUUUAUUGCUAUUAGAUGAUAAAACAUGAAUAGUGCUUUAUGUAUGACUAAAUUUUUUAAAUUUUUUCAUAAAUUUUUUAAAUAAGACGGACAGUCAAACGUUGGACACGGAUAUCCACGGCUGCAUUUAUU
rfam:Oryza sativa Japonica Group DNA, chromosome 2, cultivar: Nipponbare, complete sequence.